UUAAUUCGAUGCAACGCGAAGAACUUUACCUGGCCUUGACAUGUCCGGAAUCGAGCAGAGAUGCUUGAGUGCCUUCGGGAAUCGGAACACAGGUGCUGCAUGGCUGUCGUCAGCUCGUGUCGUGAGAUGUUGGGUUAAGUCCCGCAACGAGCGCAACCCUUGUCCUUAGUUGCCAGCGAGUAAUGUCGGGAACUCUAAGGAGACUGCCGGUGACAAACCGGAGGAAGGUGGGGAUGACGUCAAGUCCUCAUGGCCCUUACGGCCAGGGCUACACACGUACUACAAUGGUCGGUACAGAGGGUUGCGAAGCCGCGAGGUGGAGCCAGUCCCAGAAAGCCGAUCCCAGUCCGGAUCGAAGUCUGCAACUCGACUUCGUGAAGUCGGAAUCGCUAGUAAUCGCGGAUCAGCUAUGCCGCGGUGAAUACGUUCCCGGGCCCUGUACACACCGCCCGUCACACCAUGGGAGUGGGUUGCUCCAGAAGGCGUUAGUCUAACCGCAAGGAGGACGACGCCC
rnacentral:rRNA from 1 species